rnacentral:lncRNA from 1 species
GGGCGGAGAAAGGGGGGGCGGAGAAGAGGGGGCGGAGAACAGGAGAGAGAGGAGGGAAUCGAGGAGGAGGGAAGGGAAGGCAGCGGAGCUCAGCGGAUCCGAGAGGAGCUCAGCAACUCGGAGCUGAACUGAGCGCGCCGAGCGCUCCCCAGGCGCCGCUCUACCUGAGCUCCCCCGCCCCCUCUAGUGCCCCGCCCCCCACUGCGGCUCUACCUGCAUUCCCCCUCCGGGUAUCUGUUCCCAGCACCACCCCCCCUCAGCCAGGCACGCGCUGCUGCCGCUGCGGGACUGGCCGGGCACCUGGCACCUGGCGACCGCUGCGGGCACACCUCUCCACCUAGCUAGGCACUGGCAAGCGGGAGCCGCUCAGCCCGAGCAAGAGCUGGCGCGCAGACUGACAGACAGACAGACAGGCGGGUGGCCAGAAGGAGGGGACGCGAGAGAAGCAGGGUGCCGCCAACAAGGAAGAGCCCGCGGCCAACUUUGCCUCCGAGCGCCCAGGCUGAGCCUGUGCCCCCCAACAUGGCCUCCGCAGCCGCCGAAGCCCCGGGAGCCCAGGAUAACCAUGGAUCCUAUAACCCACGAAAUUCCAGAAAGGUAAAAAUACAAUUUGCCUAAAACUAGAGACAGCUCUUCUUUUUUAAUUUGAAAAGUUG